GCGUCCGUAGCUCAGUUGGUUAGAGCACCACCUUGACAUGGUGGGGGUCUGUGGUUCGAGUCCACUCGGACGCACCA
rnacentral:tRNA from 1 species